rnacentral:rRNA from 1 species
CCUACGGUAGGCAGCAGUGGGGAAUAUUGGACAAUGGGGGGAACCCUGAUCCAGCGACGCCGCGUGAGUGAAGAAGUAUUUCGGUAUGUAAAGCUCUAUCAGCAGGGAAGAAAGAAAUGACGGUACCUGACUAAGAAGCCCCUGCUAACUACGUGCCAGCAGCCGCGGUAAUACGUAGGGGGCAAGCGUUAUCCGGAUUUACUGGGUGUAAAGGGAGCGUAGACGGCGAUGCAAGUCUGAAGUGAAAGGCGGGGGCCCAACCCCUGGACUGCUUUGGAAACUGUAUGGCUGGAGUGCAGGAGAGGUAAGUGGAAUGCCUAGUGUAGCGGUGAAAGGCGUAGAUAUUAGGAGGAACACCAGUGGCGAAGGCGGCUUACUGGACUGUAACUGACGUUGAGGCUCGAAAGCGUGGGGAGCAAACAGGAUUAGAUACCCCGGUAGUC